AGCCUGAUGCAGCCAUGCCGCGUGUGUGAAGAAGGCCUUCGGGUUGUAAAGCACUUUCAGUCAGGAGGAAAGGUUAAUAGUUAAUACCCGCUAGCUGUGACGUUACUGACAGAAGAAGCACCGGCUAACUCCGUGCCAGCAGCCGCGGUAAUACGGAGGGUGCGAGCGUUAAUCGGAAUUACUGGGCGUAAAGCGUACGCAGGCGGUUUGUUAAGCGAGAUGUGAAAGCCCCGGGCUCAACCUGGGAACUGCAUUUCGAACUGGCAAACUAGAGUGUGAUAGAGGGUGGUAGAAUUUCAGGUGUAGCGGUGAAAUGCGUAGAGAUCUGAAGGAAUACCGAUGGCGAAGGCAGCCACCUGGGUCAACACUGACGCUCAUGUACGAAAGCGUGGGGAGCAAACGGGAUUAGAUACCCCGGUAGUCCACGCCGUAAACGAUGUCUACUAGAAGCUCGGAGCCUCGGUUCUGUUUUUCAAAGCUAACGCAUUAAGUAGACCGCCUGGGGAGUACGGCCGCAAGGUUAAAACUCAAAUGAAUUGACGGGGGCCCGCACAAGCGGUGGAGCAUGUGGUUUAAUUCGAUGCAACGCGAAGAACCUUACCUACACUUGACAUACAGAGAACUUACCAGAGAUGGUUUGGUGCCUUCGGGAACUCUGAUACAGGUGCUGCAUGGCUGUCGUCAGCUCGUGUUGUGAGAUGUUGGGUUAAGUCCCGCAACGAGCGCAACCCCUAUCCUUAGUUGCUAGCAGGUAAUGCUGAGAACUCUAAGGAGACUGCCGGUGAUAAACCGGAGGAAGGUGGGGACGACGUCAAGUCAUCAUGGCCCUUACGUGUAGGGCUACACACGUGCUACAAUGGCGCAUACAGAGUGCUGCGAACCUGCGAAGGUAAGCGAAUCACUUAAAGUGCGUCGUAGUCCGGAUUGGAGUCUGCAACUCGACUCCAUGAAGUCGGAUCGCUAGUAAUCGCGUAU
rnacentral:rRNA from 1 species